rnacentral:snRNA from 1 species
GUGCUCGCUUCAGCAGCACAUAUACUAAAAUUGGAAUGAUACAGAGAAGAUUAGCAUAGCCCCUGCGCAAGGAUGACAUGCAAAUUCGUGAAGUUUUCCAUAUAUUU